rnacentral:rRNA from 1 species
UGGGGAAUCUUCCGCAAUGGACGAAAGUCUGACGGAGCAACGCCGCGUGAGUGAAGAAGGUUUUCGGAUCGUAAAACUCUGUCUUUUGGGGCGAACGUGAGUAUGGUGAACAAUCAUAGUCAGUGACGGUACCAAAGGAGGAAGCCACGGCUAACUACGUGCCAGCAGCCGCGGUAAUACGUAGGUGGCAAGCGUUGUCCGGAAUUAUUGGGCGUAAAGAGCGCGUAGGCGGGAUAGUCAGUCUGUUGUAAAAGUGCGGGGCUCAACCCCGUGAUCGCAAUGGAAACAGCUAUUCUUGAGUGCAGGAGAGGAAAGUGGAAUUCCCAGUGUAGCGGUGAAAUGCGUAGAUAUUGGGAGGAACACCAGUGGCGAAGGCGACUUUCUGGACUGUGUCUGACGCUGAGGCGCGAAAGCCAGGGGAGCGAACGGGAUUAGAUACCCCGGUAGUCCUGGCCGUAAACGAUGGGUACUAGGUGUGGGAGGUAUCGACCCCUUCCGUGCCGGAGUUAACGCAAUAAGUACCCCGCCUGGGGAGUACGGUCGC